rnacentral:rRNA from 1 species
UACGGAGGGGGCUAGCGUUGUUCGGAAUUACUGGGCGUAAAGCGCACGUAGGCGGAUCUUUAAGUCAGGGGUGAAAUCCCAAGGCUCAACCUUGGAACUGCCUUUGAUACUGAGGAUCUUGAGUUCGGGAGAGGUGAGUGGAACUGCGAGUGUAGAGGUGAAAUUCGUAGAUAUUCGCAAGAACACCAGUGGCGAAGGCGGCUCACUGGCCCGAUACUGACGCUGAGGCACGAAAGCGUGGGGAGCAAACAGG